rnacentral:lncRNA from 1 species
AAAAAAUUCUCAGAGAAACAUUGACAAAAGUUCUAAGAGCUUGUAAAAAUUCAUCAUGAAAUCACAUUCCUGUAAGGCGUGGCAAAAAAAACAAAUUCAGCCUCCAAAAUGCUUUUGAAAGUAGCAUUUUCAGAGUACCGAUUUUGUUUUUUUUGCCACGCCUUCUAGAAAUGUGAUUUCAUGACGAAUUUUUGCAAGCACUUAAAACUUUUCUCAAUAUUUCUACCAAAAAUUUUUUGGAAUUUUUUGAAAUUUUUUCGAUUUUUUUUCGAUUUUGCUGUUCACCCGAGCUCAUAUGAGCUCGGGUGCAGAAACUCCACGUCCGAAACAUUGUUAAUAUACAGUCAUACGAUAUUAUUCUCAGAUCACACAAAUUAUCAUAUAUGAAGUUAAUUUUUUUACAAACCAGAAUAUCACAAUUCACACGUAUACAGAGUUGUAUGCAUAAUCACAAUUCACACGUAUACACGCAAAUGGGGUGGAUAAAAAAGGUAUGUUUUCCUUUUUAACAUGCAAAGCAACGCCGAGGUGAUUUGAUUCAGACUUCAGAGGCACACCACUGCUUAUUUAUCAACACUGCUACAACACUCGCUCGCGCCAGAGGAUUUGUUGAUCGAGAG